rnacentral:rRNA from 1 species
UACGGAAGGGGCAAGCGUUGUUCGGAAUCAUUGGGCGUAAAGGGCGCGCAGGUGGUUCUGUAUGUCUGCCGUGAAAGCAUACAGCUCAACUGUAUUGUGUCGGUAGAAACUGCAGGACUUGAGGCUGGGAGGGCUGGUGGAAUUCCCUGUGUAGCGGUGAAAUGCGUAGAUAUCAGGAGGAACACCGAUGGCGAAGGCAGGUCUCUGGGCCAUAACUGACGCUGAGAAGCGAAAGCAUGGGGAGCGAACAGG